rnacentral:rRNA from 1 species
GAUGAACGCUGGCGGCGUGCCUAACACAUGCAAGUCGAACGGAGUCCAGCCUUUAAGACCUUCGGGUCAAAGAGGGGAAGACUGAGUGGCGGACGGGUGAGUAACACGUGGGCAACCUGGCUCAUAGAGGGGGAUAACAGAGAGAAAUUUCUGCUAAUACCGCAUAAGCACACACUGCCGCAUGGCAGAGGGUGAAAAGAGAAUCGCUAUGAGAUGGACCCGCGUCUGAUUAGCCAGUUGGCAGGGUAAGAGCCUACCAAAGCGACGAUCAGUAGCCGAUCUGAGAGGAUGAACGGCCACAUUGGGACUGAGACACGGCCCAAACUCCUACGGGAGGCAGCAGUGGGGGAUAUUGCACAAUGGGGGGAACCCUGAUGCAGCGACGCCGCGUGAGUGAAGAAGUAUUUCGGUAUGUAAAGCUCUAUCAGCAGGGAAGAUAUGACAGUACCUGAAUAAGAAGCCCCGGCUAACUACGUG